CUCUGUCCAGUCUACAGGGCAAGAUGAAACGUCAGUGAUUGUUGUAAUUAACAGUUAUCUGUCCCAAUUAACAGGGAGGCACAGGAUAACACAAGACAAUGGAGGUCGGCCAGAUGUCGGACGCAACUGAGAGAAUACCAUGUCAACACUGACAUCUACGAAACAAUGUGAUCUGCACCAGCCAAGAUGAUCGUCCAAGCAGGAUAACACCGUUAACAGUGACAGAGCCUGGGUGUCAGUCUAUCCAUGAGCCUGUGGUAACGAAAUUGUGACGAGGACAUGUAAGAAUCUAAUGAUGGUAGUUGCCAUUGACUAGUAGCAUUUGAGGUCUAUAAUUCUAGUCAGUUCUCAAUGCUUCAAUUUUGCUACAAAUUGGAAUUUAAUAGCUGGCAGGAAAUGUAAACAAAGUAACCAGUUUUGAAAUAAGUUUCCACUAGUCCUCUCGACCAGUCUUCAGCAACCCAUGCUUGUCAUAAGAGACGACAAAGGGGAUCAGGUGGUCAGGCUCGCUGACUUGAUUGAUGCAUGUCAUCGUAUCCCAAACGCAAAGAUCAAUGCUCAUGAUGUCAAUCACAGGAUUAUCUGGUCCACACUUACUUAUUUUCAGAUCACCUUCAUGUAGAUUGAAUACGACUGAGUGGGGUGUUAAACAACAAACAAACAAUACCAACUAAUAUUUUUUACAAUAAUUUCUACAAUCACCAUGAUUACAAAUCCCACAAUGAAACUUUCAAAAUUGUAAGGCUCAGGACUAUUCAUUUAAUUGAAUUCCCUACUUAUCAUGUUCUAUUACGUUCUAUAUAAUUUUGUACAUCCUGGUCGUGGGAUAUCAGCUAUUUAUUUCCUUACAUAUGUCAAACUCAAAUCCUAGGGAUAGGAAAUAACAAGAUUCAUCUCAUUACACCCAAAUUAAGCUUGAAAUUCAAGGCAUCCUUGUUAUUACCCAUAUAUAAUAAAUGUUAAAGAUUUAGGUGUCCCAAGAUUCAAAUACCAUUGCACAUCUCAAGGACACUUAAUUUCGAACAGGGCAUUUCCAAACAGAGACAAUAUCAAGGGCAGAUCCAGCAAUUUAUACAUGUUAUAAAAGGUAGGGGUCCAAAAUAUCAAAAUCCUGUCUCAUGAUUUUACUGCCUACAACACAACAUACUACA